GAUGAACGCUGGCAGCGUGCCUAAUACAUGCAAGUCGAGCGAACAGACGAGGAGCUUGCUCCUUUGACGUUAGCGGCGGACGGGUGAGUAACACGUGGGUAACCUACCUAUAAGACUGGGAUAACUUCGGGAAACCGGAGCUAAUACCGGAUAAUAUUUCGAACCGCAUGGUUCGAUAGUGAAAGAUGGCUUUGCUAUCACUUAUAGAUGGACCUGCGCCGUAUUAGCUAGUUGGUAAGGUAACGGCUUACCAAGGCAACGAUACGUAGCCGACCUGAGAGGGUGAUCGGCCACACUGGAACUGAGACACGGUCCAGACUCCUACGGGAGGCAGCAGUAGGGAAUCUUCCGCAAUGGGCGAAAGCCUGACGGAGCAACGCCGCGUGAGUGAUGAAGGUCUUCGGAUCGUAAAACUCUGUUAUUAGGGAAGAACAAACGUGUAAGUAACUGUGCACGUCUUGACGGUACCUAAUCAGAAAGCCACGGCUAACUACGUG
rnacentral:rRNA from 1 species